UAUGAUUGAUGUUUAAUGGCUCUUAACAAAAACGUAGAGCUUUUGACCAUCUUUCUG
rnacentral:pre_miRNA from 1 species